GCGGGAGUAGUUCAGCGGUAGAACGCCUCCUUGCCAAGGAGGAGGUCGCGGGUUCAAGUCCCGUCUCCCGCUCCA
rnacentral:tRNA from 1 species